rnacentral:rRNA from 1 species
CUUUACUGUAGCCUGGAAUUGGGUUCGGGCUUUGACUGCGCAGGAUAGGUGGGAGACUAAGAAGUAGUCCUUGUGGGGACUAUGGAGUCAACGGUGAGAUACCACUCUGUUAAAGCUAGAAUUCUAACCGAUAGCCGUCAUCCGGCAUUGGGACAGUUUCAGGUGGGCAGUUUGACUGGGGCGGUCGCCUCCUAAACGAUAACGGAGGCGCACAAAGGUUCUCUCAGGCUGGUUGGAAAUCAGCCGUAGAGUGUAAAGGCAGAAGAGAGCUUGACUGUGAGACUGACAAGUCGAACAGGGUGGAAACACGGUCUUAGUGAUCCGACGGCACUGAGUGGAAGGGCCGUCGCUCAACGGAUAAAAGUUA